AUAUUGCACAAUGGGGGAAACCCUGAUGCAGCGACGCCGCGUGGGUGAAGAAGUAUUNNNGUAUGNACAGCUAUAUCAGCAGGNAAGNAAAUGACGGUACCUGACUAAGAAGCCCCGGCUAACUACGUGCCAGCAGCCGCGGUAAUACGUAGGGGGCAAGCGUUAUCCGGAUUUACUGGGUGUAAAGGGAGCGUAGGUGGUUCGGUAAGUCAGGUGUGAAAGCCCGGGGCUCAACUCCGGGAUUGCACUUGAAACUAUCGGACUAGAGUGCAGGAGAGGUAAGUGGAAUUCCUAGUGUAGCGGUGAAAUGCGUAGAUAUUAGGAGGAACACCAGUGGCGAAGGCGGCUUACUGGACUGUAACUGACACUGAGGCUCGAAAGCGUGGGGAGCAAACAGG
rnacentral:rRNA from 1 species